rnacentral:rRNA from 1 species
GAUGAACGCUGGCGGCGUGCCUAAUACAUGCAAGUCGAGCGAACAGACAAGGAGCUUGCUCCUUUGACGUUAGCGGCGGACGGGUGAGUAACACGUGGGUAACCUACCUAUAAGACUGGGAUAACUUCGGGAAACCGGAGCUAAUACCGGAUAAUAUUUCGAACCGCAUGGUUCGAUAGUGAAAGAUGGUUUUGCUAUCACUUAUAGAUGGACCCGCGCCGUAUUAGCUAGUUGGUAAGGUAACGGCUUACCAAGGCGACGAUACGUAGCCGACCUGAGAGGGUGAUCGGCCACACUGGAACUGAGACACGGUCCAGACUCCUACGGGAGGCAGCAGUAGGGAAUCUUCCGCAAUGGGCGAAAGCCUGACGGAGCAACGCCGCGUGAGUGAUGAAGGUCUUCGGAUUGUAAAACUCUGUUAUUAGGGAAGAACAUACGUGUAAGUAACUAUGCACGUCUUGACGGUACCUAAUCAGAAAGCCACGGCUAACUACGUGCCAGCAGCCGCGGUAAUACGUAGGUGGCAAGCGUUAUCCGGAAUUAUUGGGCGUAAAGCGCGCGUAGGCCGGUUUUUUAAGUCUGAUGUGAAAGCCUACGGCUCAACCGUGGAGGGUCAUUGGAAACUGGAAAACUUGAGUGCAGAAGAGGAAAGUGGAAUUCCAUGUGUAGCGGUGAAAUGCGCAGAGAUAUGGAGGAACACCAGUGGCGAAGGCGACUUUCUGGUCUGUAACUGACGCUGAUGUGCGAAAGCGUGGGGAUCAAACAGGAUUAGAUACCCUGGUAGUCCACGCCGUAAACGAUGAGUGCUAAGUGUUAGGGGGUUUCCGCCCCUUAGUGCUGCAGCUAACGCAUUAAGCACUCCGCCUGGGGAGUACGACCGCAAGGUUGAAACUCAAAGGAAUUGACGGGGACCCGCACAAGCGGUGGAGCAUGUGGUUUAAUUCGAAGCAACGCGAAGAACCUUACCAAAUCUUGACAUCCUUUGACAACUCUAGAGAUAGAGCCUUCCCCUUCGGGGGACAAAGUGACAGGUGGUGCAUGGUUGUCGUCAGCUCGUGUCGUGAGAUGUUGGGUUAAGUCCCGCAACGAGCGCAACCCUUAAGCUUAGUUGCCAUCAUUAAGUUGGGCACUCUAAGUUGACUGCCGGUGACAAACCGGAGGAAGGUGGGGAUGACGUCAAAUCAUCAUGCCCCUUAUGAUUUGGGCUACACACGUGCUACAAUGGACAAUACAAAGGGCAGCGAAACCGCGAGGUCAAGCAAAUCCCAUAAAGUUGUUCUCAGUUCGGAUUGUAGUCUGCAACUCGACUACAUGAAGCUGGAAUCGCUAGUAAUCGUAGAUCAGCAUGCUACGGUGAAUACCUUUCCCGGGUCU